rnacentral:rRNA from 1 species
AUACAGAGGGUGCGAGCGUUAAUCGGAAUUACUGGGCGUAAAGCGCGCGUAGGCGGCUUAUUAAGUCAGAUGUGAAAUCCCCGGGCUCAACCUGGGAACUGCAUCUGAUACUGGUAAGCUAGAGUUUUUGAGAGGGAAGUAGAAUUUCAGGUGUAGCGGUGAAAUGCGUAGAGAUCUGAAGGAAUACCGGUGGCGAAGGCGACUUCCUGGCCAAAAACUGACGCUGAGGUGCGAAAGCGUGGGUAGCAAACGGGAUUAGAAACCCUAGUAGUCC